rnacentral:rRNA from 1 species
AACGAACGCUGGCGGCAUGCCUAACACAUGCAAGUCGAACGAGACCUUCGGGUCUAGUGGCGCACGGGUGCGUAACGCGGGGGAACCUGCCCUUAGGUUCGGAAUAACUCCCCGAAAGGGGUGCUAAUACCGGAUAAUGUCUUCGGACCAAAGAUUUAUCGCCUUUGGAUGGGCCCGCGUUGGAUUAGCUAGUUGGUAGGGUAAAAGCCUACCACGGCGACGAUCCAUAGCUGGUCUGAGAGGAUGAUCAGCCACACUGGGACUGAGACACGGCCCAGACUCCUACGGGAGGCAGGAGUGGGGAAUAUUGGACAGUGGGCGAAAGCCUGAUGCAGCAAGGCCGCGUGAGUGAUGAAGGCCUUAGGGUUGUAAAGCUCUUUUACCCGGGAUGAUAAUGACAGUACCGGGAGAAUAAGCUCCGGCUAACUCCGUG